rnacentral:rRNA from 1 species
CAAGGAAUUUUCCCCAAUGGGCGCAAGCCUGAGGGAGCAACGCCGCGUGCAGGAUGACGGCUUUCGGGUUGUAAACUGCUUUUGCGUGGGACGAUAACGACGGUACCACGCGAAUAAGCCCCGGCCAACUCUGUGCCAGCAGCCGCGGUAAUACAGAGGGGGCAAGCGUUGUCCGGACUUACUGGGCGUAAAGCGCACGCAGGUGGUAAGGCAAGUGGGGUGUGAAAGCCGCCAGCUUAACUGGCGGAGGCCAUCCCAAACUGCGUCACUUGAGGCCUGUAGAGGUAUGUGGAAUUGCCGGUGUAGUGGUGAAAUGCGUAGAGAUCGGCAGGAACACCCAGGGGGAAGCCAGCAUACUGGACAGGUCCUGACACUCAGGUGCGAAAGCGUGGGGAGCAAACAGAAUUAGAUACCCGCGUAGUCC